UGCAGAAGCGGGAAUACCCCCAUAAGACGAGAAGACCCUAUGGAGCUUUAGACAUCAAGCAGCCCACAGAAAACAAUCUACACCAAUGGCUUCGAACAACGUGGAACCCUGCUGAACUGUCUUCGGUUGGGGCGACCGUGGGAUACAAAAAACCUCCCAUGAGGACCGGGAAAAACUUCCCAAAACCAAGGGCUACCGCCCUAAGCAACAGAAACUCUGACCUUAAUGAUCCGGCCCAUUGGCCGAUCAACGGACCGAGUUACCCUAGGGAUAACAGCGCAAUCCCCUCCUAGAGCCCCCAUCGACGAGAGGGUUUACGACCUCGAUGUUGGAUCAGGACAUCCUAAUGGUGCAGCCGCUAUUAAGGGUUCGUUUGUUCAACGAUUAAAGUCCU
rnacentral:rRNA from 1 species